AUUUGGCCAAAUGCCAUCUAUUUAUGUCUGAUGAUUCAGCACUAUAGAUAACAAGUUUUUCUACUACUGAUUUGAUGACAGAUGAAGUUGAAAUGUUGCCUCUUCUUUGAGUUAUAUUAAGAUAUCAGUUGAAUUUAGAGAUGUCAAUCAACAGAAAGAAAAAACCAGUUGAAUUUGACUAAUUGGUUUUUAUUGGGAAAUCCAACCCCUUUAAUUAUUAGGAUGUUUUAUAUAUUGAAGUUAAUGAGACCAAAAUAGUUCAUAAGUUCUGACCAAUUGUUACGAAUAACCGAUCUGAGUCUCCUCCUAUCAUUGCUGUGAUUGUCCAUACCCAAAAUUGAAACUAGCUUCUUUCUGUUAAUAGUGCGAAGGCAAAAAUAUAAGUUUCUAAUGUUGGUGGUACACUGGUACAUAUACUGAGUUCUCUUUAUAAAGAGGAUAGCUUAGUCAAUCAUCAAAACAUAAGUCUUACUGUUUUGGUUUUCACAUCAUUUGGUAGUAUGACAGUAAAGUCCAUAUCAUGUCCGCCACGAAAAUAUCCAUAUCAGGUGACCUAUUUGUUUAUCAGUCGAUCUUGUAUUUCAUUUCAUUAGAGAAUGGGAGGUUGAGUUGGAUUAUUGCGCACUAUUAAUGGAGUGUGUUACUGCCAACAUAACGAGCUAGUUAGGUACUAUCAUCCAUUGCAUUUGCAUUUGCAUUAGCAUUAUUCAUAUAUAUUCUUCUUAUGCUGAUCGAUCGCGUUAUGUUUAAACAGAUGGAUAUUUCAGGUCACUUAUAUUUAGAUCCGUCAGAGGGGGUCUUAAUCUCACAUUUGUUUCUGAUUGCCUAAUUCAACCUAUACCUACAGCUCGUUGUUCUUGUCCUACAACAACACCACUACCACGUUACCGACCUUGGGAGGAACGAAUUAAGAUCUUUACUGAUCCCAAAUAUCUUGAAGAAGCCAAACUUGCCAUUGGCUACUAUGGUUCUAUAACACCCACUC
rnacentral:lncRNA from 1 species